rnacentral:rRNA from 1 species
CCUAUGGGGGACAGCAGUGGGGAAUAUUGGGCAAUGGGCGCAAGCCUGACCCAGCAACGCCGCGUGAAGGAAGAAGGCUUUCGGGUUGUAAACUUCUUUUAUAAAGGAAUAAAGUGAGGCACGUGUGCCUUUUUGUAUGUACUUUAUGAAUAAGGAUCGGCUAACUCCGUGCCAGCAGCCGCGGUAAUACGGAGGAUCCGAGCGUUAUCCGGAUUUAUUGGGUGUAAAGGGGGCGCAGACGGCGAUGCAAGCCAGGAGUGAAAGCCCGGGGCCCAACCCCGGGACUGCUCUUGGGACUGCGUGGCUGGAGUGCAGGAGGGGCAGGCGGAAUUCCUGGUGUAGCGGUGAAAUGCGUAGAUAUCAGGAGGAACACCGGUGGCGAAGGCGGCCUGCUGGACUGCAACUGACGUUGAGGCCCGAAAGUGUGGGGAGCAAACAGGAUUAGAUACCCGAGUAGUC